CGGGAGGCAGCAGUGAGGAAUAUUGGUCAAUGGGCGAGAGCCUGAACCAGCCAAGUAGCGUGCAGGAAGACGGCCCUAUGGGUUGUAAACUGCUUUUAUGUGGGGAUAAAGCGAGCUACGUGUAGUUUAUUGCAGGUACCGCAUGAAUAAGGACCGGCUAAUUC
rnacentral:rRNA from 1 species